CCGCGGUUGUCGGAGCCUGUGCGUACUUGUAAGCGCGGCAAUGGCGGAGGAGCGCCGCUGAAAAACUUAUUACUUUUUCUGGGUCACAAAAUAAACUUUUAAGAUAUUUUCAGGCGAGAAUGUAGCUGUGUAAAUUUCAAAUAUCUGCUCGAUUUGUCAAGACAUCACAUAUUUGCAAAAAUGCUCCGACGUUUUCGGAGACGUCUAUUUUUUUUUUUUUUCAUGCUUUGUGGCAGCUUUUGAACAUCUGUGGCAUCUAUUAAUGUCAAAUCUAGCCUUUAUUUAACAACAUAAGCAAACUCUAUGUUACAAUGAUUGCACAGCCAUUAAGGAUCAAAUCAGUUUCUGAAAAAUGUUCUGUUUUUUCUCCCUCUGCUGGCUUCUUACUGUCUUUGAGGCUCGGGACCAGCACUCCUGCUGUUGGACAGAAAGACAUCAACUUGAGAUAUGACUGCACUGUGCUGUUGCUGGUGACCACAGUUAAUUCUACAAGACAUGCUGUGACAACAGGAGAGAUGAGUCCUCCGUCACAGAUGGUGUGGUCAGUGAAGAUGGUCGCCUGCAGGUUCAAGCUCAUUGCAUCUCCAACCCACAUCCACUGCCACUGUACUUAAGGGAAGUUAAAGACUUUCUUCUGCACUUACAUUUGGAUCACCUCGAUCCAUGACAGUCAUUCAGGCAGUAAUGCCUGGACUGGAAACAAGCCAUCCUUAAAAUAUUACAACAUUCCAGCUCAUGUGUUGGAAUGAAAAACAAAUGUGUUGUUUAAAUUAGAGACUGCACUUGUGACAGAACAAUAAAUAUUUUAUUUUGAUUAUAUAAGUAAUGUAAGUACAAAACAAACUUGUGGUAGGCCUAAACUUAUUUUCAGAAUAAUUAAAUCUGAGACUUUGUUUCAUUGUAAGAUUAUAACAGUGAUGGCAAUAUAAUUGUCUGUUGUUCAGCAGAACAGUGUCCAGUAUGUUGGCUGUUAUACUUUGUUGUGUUUGAAAAUAAAAGUUGGGCUCAUUUUAACAUCAUUACAAAAAGUGUUGUUAAUUAUUUUUAAUCAUAUUCAGG
ensembl:lncRNA